rnacentral:tRNA from 2 species
GGAGAGGUGGCUGAGUCCGGUUUAAGGCACACGAUUCGAAAUCGUGCGUAGGCUUAUACCCUACCGUGGGUUCGAAUCCCACCCUCUCCGCCA